rnacentral:rRNA from 1 species
AUGCCUAAUACAUGCAAGUCGAGCGGAGUUGAUAAGAAGCUUGCUUCUUUGAUACUUAGCGGCGGACGGGUGAGUAACACGUAGGCAACCUGCCCUCAAGUUUGGGACAACUACCGGAAACGGUAGCUAAUACCGAAUAGUUGUUUUCUUCGCCUGAAGGAAACUGGAAAGACGGAGCAAUCUGUCACUUGGGGAUGGGCCUGCGGCGCAUUAGCUAGUUGGUGGGGUAACGGCUCACCAAGGCGACGAUGCGUAGCCGACCUGAGAGGGUGAUCGGCCACACUGGGACUGAGACACGGCCCAGACUCCUACGGGAGGCAGCAGUAGGGAAUCUUCCGCAAUGGGCGAAAGCCUGACGGAGCAAUGCCGCGUGAGUGAUGAAGGUUUUCGGAUCGUAAAGCUCUGUUGCCAGGGAAGAACGCUUGGGAGAGUAACUGCUCUCAAGGUGACGGUACCUGAGAAGAAAGCCCCGGCUAACUACGUGCCAGCAGCCGCGGUAAUACGUAGGGGGCAAGCGUUGUCCGGAAUUAUUGGGCGUAAAGCGCGCGCAGGCGGUCAUUUAAGUCUGGUGUUUAAUCCCGGGGCUCAACCCCGGAUCGCACUGGAAACUGGGUGACUUGAGUGCAGAAGAGGAGAGUGGAAUUCCACGUGUAGCGGUGAAAUGCGUAGAUAUGUGGAGGAACACCAGUGGCGAAGGCGACUCUCUGGGCUGUAACUGACGCUGAGGCGCG